AGUGAACGCUGGCGGUAGGCCUAACACAUGCAAGUCGAACGGCAGCACAGUAAGAGCUUGCUCUUACGGGUGGCGAGUGGCGGACGGGUGAGGAAUACAUCGGAAUCUACUUUUUCGUGGGGGAUAACGUAGGGAAACUUACGCUAAUACCGCAUACGACCUACGGGUGAAAGCAGGGGAUCUUCGGACCUUGUGCGAUUGAAUGAGCUGAUGUCGGAUUAGCUAGUUGGCGGGGUAAAGGCCCACCAAGGCGACGAUCCGUAGCUGGUCUGAGAGGAUGAUCAGCCACACUGGAACUGAGACACGGUCCAGACUCCUACGGGAGGCAGCAGUGGGGAAUAUUGGACAAUGGGCGCAAGCCUGAUCCAGCCAUACCGCGUGGGUGAAGAAGGCCUUCGGGUUGUAAAGCCCUUUUGUUGGGAAAGAAAAGCAGCAGGUUAAUACCCCGCUGUUCUGACGGUACCCAAAGAAUAAGCACCGGCUAACUUCGUG
rnacentral:rRNA from 1 species